GCUAAUGGAGAUGAGAUUGUUGAAUGUGUUGUGGUAACAAAGCAUGAGAUAAGAGUAUAUUUGUGAAUUAAAAGGAAAUUAUUAAGCAUGUGUUUAUACUGUGCCUUAGUGCCCAUCUAUUCUCUCCUUACACUAUUCUUCUGGGUUCUGUUCUUUUGUUUGCAUUUUGUAAACCCUUACUUUCUCAGAUUGAAAAUUGGGCAGCCUACAACUUACAACAAAAUUUAUGUUGUUUAUCAAUGUGCUUAUAUAAACUGAAAUAAGAAAAUGAAUGGAAACAGUUAUACAUAUAGAUUCCUCAGUUCUGCUGAUAGUAUUGAAAAACCAUGAGAAUAUGAAGAAGGAACUCCCAUUGAAUGCAAUAAAAAUGCAGUUCAUUGAUCAGGACAUCAUGUAGCAAGCUAGUACCUUUAUAAGAAGUGGCCGGGAACAUGCCCACAAAUCCCGGAUACAAGCAAACUACCCAUCAUUUCAUACAUACUAAGAGAAAUAUAUGGAAAAGGAAGAAAGAAGGACAAGAAAAGUAGAAUCUAACUUCCGGUCAUGACUCAUGAGGUAGAUAUCUCCUAGCCCAAAUUCACAUGACAUGACGAGAGAUUCCAACCAGAGAAAAUGCCAAAGGAUUGAAAUUGCCCUGUGGUGGGGGGGAGAAGCUAGCCCUUUGGGGAAGGCUGAGAUUAAGUUCAAAGCUACCCCAUUUGUCCCACUAGAAGAACUCAAGAUGCAGCCAACUCACACCGCUCAGCCCACCCAUGGAGCCACAGGUCCUGCUGCAGUGGCUGUGCUGGCAUGGUGGAGAGUGAUGGCUUAGUAAGCUUGGAGUGACUCAUAAAUGGCUCCUAGAAUUGAUGGUCUUGAGAGAGCUAUAAAAAGGAGUGCAAGAAGAGACAGUAGAAUGUAGAUUCCUUCAAGUAUGGGUUGGUAGGACAGCAUCUUCCAAGGGAUAUGCGGCGGCCACAUCAAUUGCUCCACAUUUGAUGACCACA
rnacentral:lncRNA from 1 species